GCUCGCGCUGCCUCUGCGCCUCCAUCCCGGCUCGCUCAUUAUCUCGCCCUCUCGCUUCCCCUGCGGUCUCUCGCUCUGCGCGCACACACCACACACACGCACACGCACACACACGCGCGCACACACGCAGCCGGCACAGGCGGCGGCGGCGGCUGCCCAAGUCAGGACGAACCUAUCUAGGUACCGUCUUGAGAAGGCGGCAGCGGCGGCGGCGGCGGCGGCGGCGGCAGCCCGAGCAUCCCUCCUCUCCCGGAGAGGGAGCACCGCCGAGAGUUUCCGUUCCCUUUGCCAUUCCCUUCCCCCUCCUUUUCUUUUAUUUUCGAGAGAAUUUCUUCUUGGCUUAUUGGUUUAAUUUGAUUUUUAAAAUUUUGGGUUGCUUUUGUGUAUGUGUGCUUUUUUUUUCUUUCCUCAUUUUAUUUGCAUCCAGAGCAUGGCGGGCUGCGGGCUGUCGGAAGACACCCUCUUCUCUUCCUUCUUUUACAACUACGGCUCCUCCUGGGAAACCCCUUCCAACCAGCCCAGCGGGAACCCGAGAAAGAGGCAGGAGCCGGCGCGUUACCCCGAACAACUCCAGGCAGAACCAGGGAACUCGAGCGCAACCUUCCCCAAGUCGCCGCGGGCGCCGCGCCCCUGUGCGCCCGGCGCCUACCCGCCUUCCAGUUGCGCCGAGGGGCUGCAGAGCCGCAAGCCCCCCGCGACGUGCUGUCCCCCCUCCACUCCCCUCGGGGCCCGAGCCGCCUCUUUCCCUAAAAUGGCUGCAAUCUCAAGUAGAGGCGUCCCCUGACCCGCGGAGGUGGGGGGGGUGGGGUGCAGAGUGGAGCCUCCGCUCCUCCUGACCCCGCGCCUCCCCUGGGGCACAGAAGCACCCCACAAACACACUUAACUUUGAUGACUGUGCAAUGCAGUCCGGCUGCAUCGUGCCCUAGACGCUCCACGCCGCCGGCCUGUAGGUGUGCGUGUCGGUGUGACUCGGGGGGCCCAGGGACGCUGGGGGUAGACGCCGGAAGGGGGGCGUGGAAGGAGAUGGAUGUCAGCGGGCCACUGGUAACCUGGAGAGACAGGCAUGUGCUCAGGGUCUAGGGGUGAAAAAGCUAUUCUGGGAGCUGGAGCGAGAAAUAGAGAGAGGAAAAAUGCCUUUUAAUUAAAUAACUGUUGUAGUCUGCUGCCCCCAC
rnacentral:lncRNA from 1 species